rnacentral:rRNA from 1 species
AGGACGAACGCUGGCGGCGUGCUUAACACAUGCAAGUCGAGCGGUAAGGCCUUUCGGGGUACACGAGCGGCGAACGGGUGAGUAACACGUGGGUGAUCUGCCCUGCACUUCGGGAUAAGCCUGGGAAACUGGGUCUAAUACCGGAUAUGACCUCCUAUCGCAUGGUGGGUGGUGGAAAGAUUUAUCGGUGCAGGAUGGGCCCGCGGCCUAUCAGCUUGUUGGUGGGGUAAUGGCCUACCAAGGCGACGACGGGUAGCCGACCUGAGAGGGUGACCGGCCACACUGGGACUGAGACACGGCCCAGACUCCUACGGGAGCAGCAGUGGGAAUAUGCACAAUGGCGAAAGCCUGAUGCAGCGACGCCGCGUGAGGAUGACGGCCUUCGGGUUGUAAACCUCUUUCAGCAGGACGAAGCGCAAGUGACGGUACUGCAGAAGAAGCACCGGCUAACACGUGCCAGCAGCCGC